rnacentral:rRNA from 1 species
AAUAUUGCGCAAUGGGCAAAAACCGGGUGCAGCACUCCGCGUGGGGGAAGAAGGCCUUAGGAUUGUAAACCCCUUUCAGCAGGGACGAAAUUGACGGUACGACAAAAGAAGGGCCGGCCAAGUACGUGCCACCAGCGGCGGUAAUAUGUAGGGGGCAAAAGUUGUCUGGAUUCAUAGGGCGUAAAGGGCCCGUAGGCGGUUUGGUAAGUCGGGUGUGAAAACUCAGGGGUCAAAUCUGAGACCCCACUCGAUACUGCCAUGAGUAGAGUCCGGUAGGGGACAGUAGAAUUUUGGGUGUGGCGGUGAAAUGGGCAGAUAUCAGGAAGAAUACCGAUAGGGAAAGCAGCUCUGUGGGCCGGUAAUGACCAUGGGGAGAGAAAGGGUGGGGAGCAAACUGGAUUAGAUUCCCUCGUAGUUCACGCCGAA